AUGCUUCUUCUAGUCCUCGCCGGCCUACGCUGCAUCCGCACCACCGUGUGGACCGGCCUCCUCUCGCGCCGGUGGCGAGGCCUCUGGACCAGUCUCGCUCACACGGAUCUGGCCUUUGAUGAUGUCGCCCCCACCACAAUCAAGGCGGCGCUUGCCCGCUUCGCCGCCUCACCGCCAGCGUCGGUGUCCACCGUCAACAUCCGCCUUCCAAGCCCCUGCGACUGUCCCAAACAAGUUAACGCCUUGCUACGUGACGCCAUGGUGUUCUCACCGACGGAGCUAGUUGUCAUCCUCCCGGAGUCGUUUAUGGAAUGCCCUUUCAUGGACAUUGAGCUGCCUUGCUUCGGAGGCACCACCUCAAUCGAGCUGGACGUCGCGUUCAUGCGCAUCAAGCCGACGCCCAUGGCCGAAUUCACCGCUCUCGAGAAGCUGUCCCUCAAGGGAAAAAUCGACAACCUUGGCGCCGUGCUUGACCGCUGCCCAUGCCUACGCGUGCUCGCACUCGCCUUUCGCCUUGUGCAUUCUUCCUUGGUCGAAUCAGCACUCGCCUGGAUCCAGGAGCUUGAUGUCCGGGCAUUCAUGGAAUGCUCGAGCAUCGAUAUAGUGACUCCGGUGCUUAAGCAACUGAAGCUCUGUGUACGGGCCAACACGGAGCUCAACAUGUCCAUCUCGACGCCAAUGGUGGAGAAUAUCUCCUUCCAGCGCCAUUACACAGUGUUCCCUCUUGUAUUUGAUUGUUCGUUGCCUAAGGCAUAA
rnacentral:rRNA from 1 species